UACGGGGGGGGUAAGCGUUGUUCGGAAUUACUGGGCGUAAAGGGCUCGUAGGCGGCCAACUAAGUCGGACGUGAAAUCCCUCAGCUUAACUGGGGAACUGCGUCCGAUACUGGAUGGCUUGGAUUUGGGAGAGGGAUGCGGAAUUCCAGGUGUAGCGGUGAAAUGCGUAGAUAUCUGGAGGAAUACCGGUGGCGAAGGCGGCAUCCUGGACCAUUACUGACGCUGAGGCGCGAAAGCUAGGGGAGCAAACGGG
rnacentral:rRNA from 1 species